rnacentral:rRNA from 1 species
UAGGGAAUCUUCCGCAAUGGACGCAAGUCUGACGGAGCAACGCCGCGUGAGUGAAGAAGGAUUUCGGUUCGUAAAACUCUGUUGUUAGAGAAGAACAGCGCAUAGAGUAACUGUUAUGCGUGUGACGGUAUCUAACCAGAAAGCCACGGCUAACUACGUGCCAGCAGCCGCGGUAAUACGUAGGUGGCAAGCGUUAUCCGGAAUUAUUGGGCGUAAAGCGCGCGUAGGCGGUUUUUUAAGUCUGAUGUGAAAGCCCACGGCUCAACCGUGGAGGGUCAUUGGAAACUGGAAAACUUGAGUGCAGAAGAGGAAAGUGGAAUUCCAUGUGUAGCGGUGAAAUGCGCAGAGAUAUGGAGGAACACCAGUGGCGAAGGUGACUUUCUGGUCUGUAACUGACGCUGAUGUGCGAAAGCGUGGGGAUCAAACAGG